GUGCAGGCUUUGGCAACACAUAUACUAAAAUUGGAACGAUACUAAGAAGAUUAGCAUGGCCCCUGCACAAGAAUGACAUGCAAAUUCAUAAAUCUCCACCUAUUGUA